GCCGCCGCACCACCUGGCUGGCUCCCUGCGCUCGGCCCGCGCUUUUUCUUGGGCGCCAUGGGUUGGUGCCUGGACCACCAGGACUGGUCCUGCACACCCAUGAAGCGACUGACCCAGCUGGUCUGAAGCACCCCACGAGGAGCCCCACUGCACCCGCGCAUCUGCCACUGGAGGGUCUCGGUUGCUCUUGGCCUUUAAAUCCCUGGUGAGAUGGAGAAACCGAGGCAAGGUACCUCAGAACCCAGGCCAGAUCCACACAAGGCUCUCGGUCAGUCCCAGAUGGAAGCUCCAGUCCCAGGCCGUGACAUGCAUCAGCUCCCACACCCAGGAUUGUCCCAGAGAAAGCGCUCUGCCCUCCCCGUCCACAGCACCACGAGGGCCAUAACUGCACUGCCACACCUCUCCAGUUCCAGAGACAUCCCUGAGAGGCAGCCAUCAGGGGUGCCCAGCUGAGGACACGCCUCCUUGGGGACCCUCAUUCCUGAGUCCAUGCCUCCAGAUUCACGAUCUCAGAGACAACCACAUCCGCAACUGGCACGUGUCCCCACCGAAGGGGCUCAAGUAAGUGACUGGAGUGACCAGGGUGGAUGGGCCUGGAGUACCUGGGUCUAUAGCCCACGCCCGGAGCAGGAAAUGGGGGAGACCUGGGGUACCUGGGUCUGUAGCCCACACCCAGAGCAGGAAAUAGGGGAGACCUGGGGUACCUGAGUCUGUAGCCCACAUCCAGAGCAGGAGAGAGGGGAGACCUGGAGUACCUGUACCUGUACCUCAGCUACAGUAUCUGAGUCUGUAGCCCACAUCUGAAGCAGGAGAGAGGAGAGGGCCAUUUUGGAGUCCACCAGGUAGCCCCAGUAGGACAGGGAGAGGCUGUGUAUGAGAUGGGAUGGGUGGUGGGCCAUGGCUGUGACACUGGAGGGGACAGGGCGGGGAUACCUUCUCAGACUAUGACACUCAGAGGCAAGGUAGGAUCUCGGCCCACACAACAGCACACGGAUGGUGCCCUUAUGGGAGAGAGCGGGGCCAUGCAUGGGGCCUGUGACAGCUUGGGAGGUGGGGGCCAGGGGAGUUUGGUUUCCUGGGUUACGGAAUGCUGGGUGUGUGUGAAGUAGGAGGCACCAGCCACACUGUUUCACCAGGGGCUGUGAUCUGGGCCCCACCCUUGUGACUCUGGGGCUUCUGGAUGAUGACCUCUCCCCAGACCUCACCCAUGAUUUCCCCGUGGAUUGGUUAAAAAUUCAAUGCAAGGUCCAGGUCAAUAAUGCACCCAAAAUAAAGCUGAAAGUUACAA